rnacentral:antisense_RNA from 1 species
UUGCUACAUUUAAUUCCAAAGUAUCUAUCGCCAAAGUUACCAACUCCAGGAACAACCUGCAUGUUUUCAUCAAGAUUAUAAUCUAUUGAGGAGAUUACAAGUCUGAUUUCUGGAAAUUGUGAGAAAACUCGUUCGAUUGCUAAUUUUGACGAAAGCAGUGCCAUACAAAUAAUAUUUUUCUCUUUUACAUUGUUCUUUAUCAGCACUUCUAUCAAACAACAUAGUGAAUUACCAGUUCCUAACACUGGGCUCAUUACGAUUACAACUCUUUCUGAGACAUCUUCGGGUAAUUUUACAUAUGCUGCAGAAAUAGCGUUGUCAAAUUCGUUUUCAGAAGAGUUAUUUAAUAACACCUUCCCUAUUCUACAUCCUCUGCAUACAAAUCUAAGCGCAUUCUCCAUCGCUUCACCAGAUCCUAUUAGGCUCACGCCGCAGAUGGGAGUGUUAAAUGCAAUUCCCUUGACUUCGAUUCCAUUUGGGGUUUUAAUUUCCUUAUAAUCAUAAGGAAGAAGGUUUAAAGCAUGUUCAAGAACAAUUCUACAUAUUCUAUCUGUGUAAAACACAAAGUCUUCUUUUGAAGUGUUUGCAUCUCUAAGUAUUGUCAUAACUCCUUUUAGUUGUGGUGUUUGAGUGCAAAUGUGCAGGCUCGGAUAUUUAGAACUUAACUCGCUGUAAAGCUCUUGUUCUGUUGGGGAUACGAUAAAAUUCAUAGAUUAAACCAAAAAUAUAGAGAAUAGAUAUACUAAAUUAAAUGAUUGAAAGCUCUCAAUUGAGUUUACUAUUGAUUUUAAGUAAAAUUUAUAAAGCACUUUUAAACGUAAUACUUGCAAAAAUUUUUUCAAAAAAAAAGUUAUGGCGCUAAUGUUCAAAGUUUUUUUUAUUCCGCAAUUUAGAAAUUUGAAUUUAUAAAAUAAGCUUCCAUAUAAUGAUGAUCAAAACUAUAGCCGAUAAGGCCAAUAUUGGUGCAUAUUUUUGAAUUAAUGCAUGCAAUGAAAGCUUUUUUGCAGCUCUAGAAAAUUCCAGGGAUGCAAAUUUUAAAUCAUUGGCUUUUCUUUCAACAUCAUUAAGAUUUUCACCUCUCAGUAAAAUAUCAUCCACAUUUCUUCUCAUUAUAUUAGUUACCUGAAUUGUUAAUUUUUUUGAGCAUUAUGGUUAAAAACAAGUAGUAAACAUACCUCAAUUAGCGAGUCAUUUAGUUUUUGUAGCGACUUGUUCGAGUUUGGGUCCUUAUAUUCGGAUUUGCAUCGUUGAAUUAUUCGGUCAAACUUUAUGAAAUAAUACGGCUUAUCUAUUGCAUCAAUCAGGCUCUUGAAUUCAUCUCUAUUUGCAAAUUCUCUCCCUAGUUCUUCAAUAAAUAACCUUUUUAUUUCAUCUAGAAAAGAAAAAGCCAACUUCUUCGGGUAUGACUUUCCCGAUAAAGUCAUAUAAAUAAUACCAUCAUUUACAAUGUAGUGGAAGACAUAAUUUCCACUAUCAAUAGAACAUUUUUCUACUCCUUGAUCAUUCCC